rnacentral:rRNA from 1 species
UAUCAACGGCAUCACGAGGAUCCUACUGUCUCCCCCCUCUAAUCAGUGAAACUGAUCUCCCCGUGAAGAAGCGGGGAUAUACAUAUAAGACGAGAAGACCCCAUGGAGCUUUAAACCUGACAGCACCCGCUCAUUCUAUACCCCAUUAUUUGCCCGACCCCUGUCUGCUCAGUUUUAGGUUGGGGUGACCACGGAGUAUAAAAUAACCUCCAUGAAGAAGGGGAUAUUUCCCUUAUUAGAGAACCACACUUCCAAGAACUAAUAAAUUAAUUUUCAAUGACCCGAUACCAGAUAAUCGAUCAACGAACCAAGUUACCCUGGGGAUAACAGCGCAAUCCACCCUGAAAGCCCUUAUUAACAGGUGGGUUUACGACCUCGAUGUUGGAUCAGGGUAUCCCAGUGGUGCAGCAGCUACUGAGGGUUCGUUUGUUCAACGAUUAA